rnacentral:tRNA from 1 species
GCUCCGGUAGUGUAGUUCGGUCAAUCAUACUGCCCUUUCGAGGCAGCGACCCGAGUUCAAAUCUCGGCCGGAGCA